UCGGUCGAUGGUGUGGAACAGAUGGGCCAAAUGCCCAGACUUCAGGGCAGACAAUGAAGGUUAAAUUCCACUCCGAUGGUUCGACUUCCCUCACGGGAUUUAAGUUGUCCGUUACUGCCGGCGAACCAACCUCUGAUUCUGCUGCGACCACGAACAUACUAAUAGCCGUACUAGGAGGUGUAUUUGGCAGUAUUACAGUUGUGGGCGUUGUAACCUGUUGCUGCUGCUGUGGACGUUUCAGAAGGAAAUCGAGUCCCAGCGACCAACAGCAGAGGAACAGAUGAUGUGAAGCCACUGUCUCCUUCAUCAACGUCCCCAGCAACCCGCAAACUACACCUGUUGCUUCUUUUCCUCUGCCGUUCAUGUUUCCACCAGGUACUUCUUACAGUGAUGUCUUGAAGGAUGAUCCCCCCACCGUAUCGUCAGGCAGUUCCACUAUCUGGCAUACAGCCGGUUGUCACGUCAUCCCCUAGCGGUGGAUCUGAGCAUCAAGGGAUAGAUAACCCAGCAGGCCCCAGUUGAGUUUCACAUGACGUGCAUGUUAGUAUUACUGGAAUAAAGAC